ACGGACUCCUACGGGAGGCAGCAGUAGGGAAUCUUCGGCAAUGGACGAAAGUCUGACCGAGCAACGCCGCGUGAGUGAAGAAGGUUUUCGGAUCGUAAAACUCUGUUGUUAGAGAAGAACAAGGACGUUAGUAACUGAACGUCCCCUGACGGUAUCUAACCAGAAAGCCACGGCUAACUACGUGCCAGCAGCCGCGGUAAU
rnacentral:rRNA from 1 species